GCUGACUGACUCUAUUCACCUCACGCCGCCGCUUAAACAUUGAUACUGAUUCUCGGCCAGCCAAUCCGCGUGGGGAUCCAGGCCCUGCCCUCUCGGCCCACGCCCAAUGGGAGGUGGAGAAACGGGCGAGGGGGCGGGGCCAGCAGCCCCAGCGCUUUAGAGUCAUUGACGAGCCGAGUCCGACCCGAGAGCUAUGCAGCCAGGGGAGCCCGCGCUCGGUCACGGCGCCCGGGAACCGAGCCGUGGCUCGUCGGGGUCCUCGGCUCCAGGGCGAGGCAGCUGGCCUGUCUUUCUCUAGAGAGAGAGAGACAAAAAGUUUGACGGCGGCUCGAUUUUAUUUGGGGAUCGGAAGGCACGGGCCAGGCUUGAGAACCACGGCAUACUUUGGACAGUGAGGGAGCUGCGGUCUUCCUGGUGCAUUUCUGUUCACACACAUUCGAACUCACGUCGCCAGCUCACACACACGCGCGCACACACACUCACACGCACAGACACACACACACACAGACUGAGGGAGUUGCAGAUUUCCUGGCUUCUCGUGCACUGAAGGGGGUGCCGAGUGUGUGUGUGCGCACGCGCGUGUGCGGCUGUGUGUGUGUGUGUGUGUGUGUGUGUGUGUGUGUACGUACACUUCAGUGAGUGCCUGUGAAGUCCAGUGCUGGAGAGCCUACUGUGCCAGCUACCUAGGGAGGGAGCAAACACGCCGCAAGCAACAGCAAUCAAUAUGUAACUUUCCUCAUCCUCAGAGAAAUCCCCGCUGUCCCCAGGCACCCAUGCAAGGAAAGUCACUUGAUUAUGAAAGUGUUUCAGAAGAAAAGCCGACGCCGGUGAGGAGACAGGCAGUGCCUCCUCGGAGGAAAAAGCCUCUCUUAAGACAUGUUUUGCAGCUUCAUGAAACUGGAAUCUGCUGAAUAGUAUUUGGGGCUCUACCCUUCAGCCAUCUCCUAUCAUAAUCCACAUUCAGUGCACUCCAGCAUCCCUCGACACCCAAUAGCUUUAUUGUCUGGUUCACCUCUGUUCACUUUACUAAACUUCCAAAUAGCAAUAUUAUAUUUUUCCAAACUAAGUAGUCAUUGAUAAUAUUUACAAAAUCUCUGUGUAUAAAAGCUGAACUGUUAGGCAAGGACUCACAUCAGUAGGAGAUCAAUGAUUCAAAGAUUCCUGUUCUGUAAGUAUAAACACACACACACACACACACACACACACACACACACACACACACACACCUGGCUCUAAAUCCCUAGUCUCCACCAACCCAACAGUCGCCAAACACGCUUUUGCCUAAGCGUCUAUCACAAAUGUCCACAAGUCAAGACCGGUUGCCUGUGAUCUAGCAGUCUGCAAAGAGGAAACUGAUUCAUUGAAAUCGAGAAGGUGGACUCUACAGUGUUGCUUUGGGUGGUUCCUAUUCUCUGGCCAAGGAUCAAGAUGAGAUGCAGUUGACUGCAUUUGUCCAAAUUCCGAAUGACCUAUCCGCACCAGAAGAGGCUCCUAUCAUCUGCAGGAUAUGGGAGCUUUGUAGGCAGCAUGGAUGUGUGAUGGGAAGAGCAAGACCACUUGAAAUCUCAAUCUCUUCUUGCUUCAUUUGACGGAGAACUCUACCCAGGCUCCAAAACAGAUCUAGGGAGUACUCUUCUACUGAGCUUUCUCUCCAAUCCAGUUUGCUUGCAAUGGCUAAUCUCUUCACCAUCCUGUUUAUAGUUGAGUGUUUUAAAGAUUUAAAAAUGUGUUUUCUUAGUUGAUAUUUUCAUUGAUCUAUCCAUUGUUUUAUAUAUUUGAAAAUGUUUUACUUCUGACAUAUAUGCUUAGUUGUGAAUAACUCAUAAUUUUCUUCUGUUUAUUUACUGAGUUGUUUGCUUCUUAAUGUGUGACAACAGGAACAAAAUUAUAAAAGAACACAGACACACAUUCAAAAUAUCACAUGACAUUUUACACAAUGUUUGUCAAAUGUAAGGUUAGGAUUCUCACUUCUUGAAGAAAAUAUAUACCAAAUAACAGCAAAAUUCUGUUGCCAGUUUUGGCUGCUGGAAUUGACAUGCUUUUUCAUAAUGGGCAGGGCAUUUCUUGUGUGACUUCUACUGAUGAUUUCCCUGAUGAUCUUAAGUGUAGUUUUACCCAUUAUUUUUGAGAAAUACUUGAUAUGUAUAAAGCUAACAUUCCCAUUUGCCUGACUACAUAACAGACAUGUGAUCAAAAUUUAUCACUUAAACUAGUUAACUUACUCCAAAGCACUAACGAAUAUUUGCCUGCUUCUAGAGUUUGUAGAGAGAAUUUGCUAAAAGAAAUCUUAUUUAAUAAAAAAUACUUUAAAUUAUAGCACUGUUUGGGUUUUUCCAUGUUGUUAUAAGUCACAAAAUUGUUUUAUAACUAUAUUUCUAAUUUUUUAGGGUGAAGAAUAAACUUAAUAAUUUAUUUUAUAUUCCCAAUUUGAAUGUCUUAGUAUAAAUUACCAAUAAUGUAUUUUCAAAAUGUGUUUUAUUCAUAGCUUCUUUUUUCUUUUUGACAGCAUCUCAAUAUUUAGCCUUUGUUGGAACUCAAUGUAUAUACUAGAUUCCCCCUUGAAUUAAAAAAUAUCUGCCUGCCUUCAACUCCUGAAAGCUGGGAUUAUAGGUAUAUGCACUGCCAUGCCCACUGCGCAGCCUGUGUCCAAGAAUGUGCGGAGGGAGUCAGGGAUUGACAACACCGAAGGCUCCUAAAGAAGGCUCUCCUUUAUUCCUCCCCUGGCUGGAGGGGUGGUGGGUGGCUAGAAAGAGGCGGUUAGUCUUUGGAAAAGGUCGAGGUCAGGGCGGUUCCCGUGGGCCAGCCCUUUUCAGGAACUUAUUGCCCUGGGCACUGCAUUGUUUUUAGUAAACAUGUUUUUAAUAAACAUUGUCUUACAGCUGCCUGGUCCCAGGCUGAUGGGGAAGUGGGUCUCUGCUCAAGGUCUGGUGUCCCCACAAUGCACCAUACUUGGUGCUAGUCAUUGCCUUUUGUAACAAGAAAUGUCCAAUAAAACACAUUAUACUAUGCUAA